rnacentral:lncRNA from 12 species
ACCAGGUAGGGGCGCUGUAUUCUAAGAAGUGUCCGACAAGGCAGAUGUUGGAUGUGCAUAUGUAUCUCAAAGGGGGAAGAAAGACCAUAAAAUGCUCUCUGAAUCCAUAAGGACAACUCCGUUGGCACAGAUGGGAAUUUUGCUCUGAAGUGACAGCACUGCUUUCCUGGAACAUGAACUAGUAACUGCAAAGAGUUUCUUUGGAAACACCAUAUUUUAUCAUUGACCCAUCUUUACCAUAGUGCACACUCCUAAACCAUUCUAUAGAGAUGUUCCCCGGAAGUUAAAGAUGGCUCAGAAGAAAAACUGUCAUCU